UAAAUUUAUUGUGUUUAUAUGGUGGUGUAAUAUUAUGUAUGAUCAUGAAUUAAUGGAUUAUACAAUGUUAAAUUGCUUCAAAGUACCUUGCGAAUAUAAUCUUCAGCAAGCUACUUUGAAAAAACCGACUAUACCCAAAAGUUGUUGAUUCGGAAGAUGGUUUGUAUCUCCGUGUCGUUAACAUUAUUGGCGUUGGCAUCGUUUAUAGCUUGCAUACCCAAUUUACGAUAUUACCGAAGACAAGACAUCAAGAAGUGUCUCAAGUGUCUGAGGAAAAUAAGGAGAAGAUAAUGUCCUGCCUUACGGCUCUGGCAGUCCUUUUAACCGUCAGUGUGCUCUCAUGUGGUCCCGUAGUUGUGCGCAAUUACACAGUUAAAGAAAAGGAAAAAGAAAAAGAUAAAGAAAAGAAUGCUGAUCCUGAUAAAACUGGAAAAUCCCCGUAACAAACAGUUGGAGCCAAUGUUCUCCUCUCAAGGGAGGAUGACUACCUCACAGUAAAUAAAUAUAAUUAUGAAAUAA